rnacentral:rRNA from 1 species
GACGAACGCUGGCGGCGUGCUUAACACAUGCAAGUCGAACGGAAAGGCCCUGCUUUUGUGGGGUGCUCGAGUGGCGAACGGGUGAGUUACACGUGAGUUACCUGCACUUGACUUUGGGAUAACCUAAGGCAACUGGGGCUAAUACCGGCAAGGAGUUCUUGCUGCUUGGUGGGGGUUGGAAAGUUUCGGCGGUUGGGGAUGGACUCGCGGCUUAUCAGCUUGUUGGUGGGGUAGUGGCUUACCAAGGCUUUGAAGGGUAGCCGGCCUGUGCGGGUGAACGGCCACAUUGGGACGGAGAUACGGCCGAGACAGCUACGGAAGGGAGGAGGGGGGAAUAUAGCACAGAGGACGGAAGCCAGAUGGAGCAACCCAGCGUGCGGGAGGACUGCCUGCGUGAUGUAUGCCACGUUCGCCUGUGACGAAGCAUAAGGGACGGAACGGGAGAAAGAAGCACCGGCAAACUACUG